rnacentral:rRNA from 1 species
CACGAAGUUAGCCGGCCCUUCCUCUGGGGCUCCUCAGAUCUUGGUAGCCCCUGACAGCAGUUUACACCCCGAGGGGCUUCAUCCUGCACGCGGCAUUGCUCCGUCAAACUUUCGUUCAUUGCGGAAGAUUCGU